rnacentral:rRNA from 1 species
CCUACGGGUGGCAGCAGUAGGGAAUUUUCGGCAAUGGGGGGAACCCUGACCGAGCAACGCCGCGUGAACGAAGAAGUUAUUCGUAAUGUAAAGUUCUUUUAACAGGGAAGAAAGAGAAAUUUGACGGUACCUGAAGAAUAAGCUCCGGCAAACUACGUGCCAGCAGCCGCGGUAAUACGUAGGGAGCGAGUGUUAUCCGGAAUUAUUGGGGGAAAGGGGUGCGUAGAUGGCAUAGUAAGUCUUUUGGAAAAAUGCUGGGCCAAACCCAGUAGGGCAAAAGAAACUGCAAAGCUAGAGUAUGACAGAGGCAAGUGGAACUACAUGUGUAGCGGUAAAAUGCGUAAAUAUAAGUAAGAACACCAGUGGCGAAGGCGGCUUGCUGGGCCGAUACUGACACUGAGGCACGAAAGCGUGGGGAGCAAACAGGAUUAGAUACCCGGGUAGUC